rnacentral:rRNA from 1 species
GACGAACCGUGCGAACGUUAUUCGGAAUCACUGGGCUUAAAGGGCGCGUAGGCGGGCCGCAUAGCCAAGGGUGAAAUCCUCCGGCUCAACCCGGAGAAGGGCCUUUGGUACUGGCGGCCUCGAGGGGUGCAGGGGCGUGCGGAACUCAGGGUGGAGCGGUGAAAUGCGUAGAUAUCCUGAGGAACACCGGUGGCGAAGGCGGCACGCUGGACACCUUCUGACGCUGAGGCGCGAAAGCCAGGGGAGCAAAGCGGG